rnacentral:lncRNA from 1 species
AGCAUUUAGCUGGUUUAUAGCCCACUAUAAUACUUGCUCUAAACCUGUGUCCCCGAUAUACCCUAGAGAAUAAAAAUAUAUUUUAUAUAUAAUGAAAUGGCUAAACAAAAAAAAUAGAAGUACUUGAAAGUACCCAUGAUACUUUUCCUAUCAUUGUAAAAGAGCUCACUUCAUAAACCAGCUACCACAAUCUCAAAAGCUAAAUGAACCUUAGCUUCUAUUAGCCUCUAGAAGUUAGCAUGGAUCCAAACACAGCUCUAUUCACACUAACUUGUAGUAGAAUUUUGACAACUUCGGAUUCCAUAAUAUUUACUACUAGCGUUCUAAUCUUCUAUGUACAUUUUUUUCUAAUGCAUCUUUAUCUCUAUCUUCCUCCUUCUUGUUGCUUAUAUACUACUUUUUUUUUACUUCUCGUUAGCUAAGGUCUUGUUUAAUUCACCCCAAAAAUAAAAAAAAUCAAAAGUCCCUGUCGCAUCAAAUCUUACGGCACAUAUAUAAAGCAUUAAAUAUAGAUAAAAACAAAACUAAUUGCACAGUUUGCC